CACGGACCAAGGAGUCUAGCAUGUAUGCGAGUUAUUGGGUUAUUCCAUUGUUAAUGUGGCACUUGUGUUGCAUGGCAUGGAAUAGAUAUAUUUAAGAAAACCCAAAAGCGAAAUUAACGUGACUGUUUCAUGGGAUUACAUUUAUUUAUUAUAUGUUUCUGAUAAAUGAAUUUCCAUCCCAGGGCGAUUUAUAAUUAAUUUAUUAUGAAAUCGUACCUUGAGCAUACAUGGUAGGACCCGAAAGAUGGUGAACUAUGCCUGAUCAGGUUGAAGUCAGGGGAAACCCUGAUGGAGGACCGAAGCAGUUCUGACGUGCAAAUCGAUUGUC
rnacentral:rRNA from 1 species